GCCGCUCCGAGAAGUCAGCCGGCGUCACCCAGGAGCGCCCGUCCCGAUGGAUUCGUACGAACGGAACUCGAUGUCUCGCUGUGCAGGCUGGAAAGAAGCGAUAGAGGCCAAUUAAAAAAGAAAAAAAAAAAACACAACGCGAGUGUUGCAUUGAAGUUCCUCUGCAACAGUUCGUAUAUUUCUAUCCUCUCCCUUCCCCCAAAGUCCGAGAGCAGAGCAAAGUGAACGCUCACAACACCGAGGGACAGAGGCUGCUCCCGGCUCUGUCUCUUCAGGACGUGUCCUCUCUAUCCACCCUCCUCCUUCAACACUUUCCAGCACCGCUUUAUCCACUGACAGCUGUGUGUUUGGGGAUGAGGACUAUCUCUCACAUAGCACAAAGGGAUUACUGCAAUACAAGUCCCACCAUUGCAGAGAAUUCUUGUUGUUUUCCAAUCAGCUUUUAGUUAAUGUACUACACGCACCUGUUAUUUUUUCUUUUGCCCUUUUAAAACUGAUAUUUUAUAUAAAACUCCUGAACUCCAGAGGAACUGGCAGCACUUCACAAACCACAACCUGAGUCUUUCCAAGCGGUGAGAACUCCAAUCUCAAUCCAGAAGAACAGUCGAGCACAGGCCCAGCUCCAAGCACCUGCAUCUAUGGGCUUGACAGCUCCUGUCCUUCCCCAGAGAGACACAAAGAGCAUGCUGCGCUACAACAGAGGCCAGGAAAGAGCUAAAAGCUCUGCAUGAAAGAGGCCAGGAAAACCAAGGAGAGUAGAAAGAUACGGUUUUAUUAUCAUUUGAAAGAGUCCUAUUGUAAAGUGAGCGCGACUCAGCUUUCCUAGAAGGGCUGAACUGCAUUGGCUCUGACUGUGGAGCCUACAAAGUGAGAACGGAGCAAAUAUGAGAGCUGCCUGCCGAGCUACCAUCACAAAGAAGACUUAAGCAUAAUGGCAAAUAAGCUAUAAACAGCAGAAGAUUACAAGUCUGCCUAUCGGAAAGGGAGGACCUGGAAGAGCCUUUCUGUGGGAACACUGGAGACAAAACCAAACCAACCGGACCUUGCUAUGUGUUACAUGAUGUGAUGCACGAAACAGCAGAGGAAUGAAUCUGGUGACUCAGCCCUAUUUCAGUCACACAAUGGGAUUUUGGCCUCACUACUACAGAGAGGUAGAACAAGCUUCAUAAGAACCCUCGAUUGAAAUGUUCAGAAAAGAAAACAGAAGAUUCCUCAUUGCUUUCUCAAACAGAACUGGCAAGGAAAAAAGAAAAUAGUUUAGACCAAAACUAUUUUUUCCAUUAGCAUUUACUGCUGGUCCUGUCUCCAACAUAUCAGCCAGGCACGUCCCUGGUGGGACAGAGAGCCAAGCAGCAAUGGAUGAAGAGAAGUGAAGAUGAGUCCAGGAUGAACCAAUAAGAAGGAAACGGACGAUGACGUAGCAUGGAUGAGCUUUGAUGGAAGCAUCAGAAGCUGUCUAGGACUCAGAAAGGACCUUAAAAGAGCACAGAUGAAUCUCAGUGUAUUUUAGUCCUAUUGCUCUUGUGAAUGCCUCUUUCAGGUGUGCUGUGUUUCCAGCUUGACCCCUGACUGAAGCAUUUGCACACUCAGGAGAGCAUCUGUGCCUAUCAGAAGACUGAUUAGACUCUCUGAGAACAGUUUAUGGUUUUAUGUUUGCGGAGUCACCGAGCCCAGGGUCCAGAAGGGGAGGCCACAGUAGCACAGGCUGAAAGCAAGCGAAGAGUGAGAGAAGGGAGCGCUGCUCCUCUUUCUGUUCCUGCAUGAUUCAAGGCUGAAUUACCCUUUCCCAGACAGCUGCAGCCCUUGAGCUAGAGCACAGUUGAUGCUGCAGCUGCAAGGCAAGAAGCCCAGAGCCUGGUAGAGCAGCAGUGCAGAUGCUGUGCACCACGCUCCCUUCCUACAGAGCCC
ensembl:lncRNA